CCGCUGCUCCACUAUCCUGCGCCACGGAACUCAGCCAUGGGUAUAGACCGGCGCGGAUCCGGCUCGGCCCCCCCCCCUUCUGGGCCGGGGGAGUGAUCCCAGCCCUAACCCUGUGGCCCUGACCGCGACACUGCAACUGAGGCCGGGGAGCCCGACCGCCACACCUAAAAUGGCGGGCGCCAUGUGCGCUGACGGUAAAGGGAAUACCUGCUCCCAUCUCAUGCUCAAGGAGGCGCAGACAUUCCGGACAUGCCGCACGGAGAGACGGCGAAACCAGC